CCCAGUCUGUGCUCCUACUUUUACAGAAUUUUUAGAUCCGUCCCACAAUGAGAGUUCUAGAAUAUGUGUUUCUACUGGCUCUCAUCUCAGCUGUUCAGGGGCAGUCACUCACCUCCUCUGAGCCAGAGGUGAGGAGACCUGGAGAGUCAGUAACACUGUCCUGUGCUGUGUCUGGAAUCUCCAUGGAUAGCAACUGGAUGCAAUGGAUCCGUCAGAAACCAGGGAAAGGACUUCAGUGGAUUGGAUUCAUUGACACUGGAACCACUGCUUACUAUGCCCAGUCCCUCCAGGGCCAGUUCACCAUCACCAAAGACAACUCCAAAAACCAGCUCUACUUAAAGAUAAACAGCCUGAAGACUGAAGACUAUGCUGUUUAUUAUUGUGCCAGAGACACAGUGACACAGGAUCCUGCAGCGCCAGACAAAAACGGAUCAACACUGAUCCCAAUAUGAGAGGCAAUGAGGCGCAUCUGUUAUUCAGACACACUCUCUAUGAGUGAGCAGAAGUACUCAACAGUAGUGGAAAAAACACUGAUAUCAAUAUUAUCUUCAUAAAAUAAUCCAUACACAAUAUAACCUUGAAAAGCACAUUAUUUACAUUAACCCAAAGUCAACUUUAUAGAAUUGAGUUCAUAUUAGCUAUUACGUUUUGAGUAUCUUUAUCGGACAGAAUUAUAUUAAUGUGAUCAACAAACAGAAACAUACACAAACUAAAAACAGUAAUGGAUCAAUUAUAGAUCCUUGGGGAACUCCACAAUAGAUUCCCAAGAGGAGCUAAGCAGUAAGAGAUACAUCUAAUUAAAUACUAAUUGUAUUGUCCCACAUAGGGAAAUGUGCUUGUUUCUGUGCUGUUCAAAAUUGUAUAAAAUACUAAACAUA